rnacentral:lncRNA from 1 species
UUUAUCACUCCAAGUCUGUAUCAUGAAUAUAACUUCUUUUCCAAGUAUAUUGAUUUUUUUUAUGUAUUUCAGGAGUGGAGAGAGAAGCGAAGCAGUCUACCAAAAUUCUCCCUCAGCAUCCUGCUUAUCUAGAACCAAGUGCAUCACGUCAAUAGAGACCCUUUCAAAACAGUAGAAAUUAUUUUUUUCUUAAAACGUAUAGGAUUAACCAAUUAGACAACAAAGGAUAGGUCAUAUUUCUCUAAGCUUAUGUUUGGCAUGAAAUGUCAAGUAUUUAUAAUAAAAUAUUCAAAGUUAAGUACAGUGAAAUGUAUGAAGUACUGAAAUAGAUUAUCAAUCUUCUUGGCGCCCUUACAGGAGGAUCUGUAUUCAUUGAUAACACAAAAAACUUGAGGUUGUAUUUCUCUUUAGAUUGAGAGCCCAAAUAGAAUUGAUUGGAUAUUUAAAACACUUAUAGUAAGAAAUUUCAGCAUUGUAUAAGUCAAACAUGGAAUGAAUUUAGGAGUUCCCGUCGUGGCGCAGUGGUUAACGAAUCCGACUAGGAACCAUGAGGUUGCAGGUUCGGUCCCUACCCUUGCUCAGUGGGUUAACGAUCCAGCGUUGCCGUGAGCUGUGGUGUAGGUUGCAGACGCGGCUCAGAUCCCGUAUUGCUGUGGCUCUGGCGUAGGCUGGUGGCUACAGCUCCGAUUCAACCCCUAGCCUGGGAACCUCCAUAUGCUAGGUUUAAGUAAAUAUGUGUGUGUGUGUGUGUGUGUGUGUGUGUGUGUAUUUAAGGUAUAUAUAUCAUAUAUGAUAUGUAUCUUGUAUAUACAUCAUAUAUGAACCUUAAAAUAUAUAUUACUUAAAAUUAAAUACACAUAUACUGGAGAUAUAUAUAAUAAACAUUCAUUUAAGUUAUAUGUGGUUAUGUACAUAUAUUUACUUAAACUUAUGUAUAUGAUAAUAAGGCAGUUCUCGGCAGGCACUAAGCAUUGCUUAAAUAUUAACUAUUUUUAAUAUGUUGCCUUAUUUUUAUAUAUGAAGUACUAAUGAGUAAAAAAACUGAUUGAUUUGAUGGUUCUUUCUUUUCUCUGCUUUUUCUUUAAAGGUUCAAAGUUGCAGCAAAAUGUUACUUUUAAGAAGUUGAGUGGGAAUUCCCAUGGUGGCUCAGAGUUAACAAACACCAUUGAGAUCCAUGAGGAUGCAGGUUCAAUCCCUGGUCUCACUCAGUGGGUUAAGCAUCUGGCCUUGCUGUGAGCUAUGUGCAGUUUGCAGAUGUGGCUCCUAUGCCUGUUGCUGUAGCUGUAGCAUACAUAGGCCGGCAGCUGCAGCUCUGAUUGACCCCUAGCCUGGGAACUUCCAUAUGUCAUAGUGUACGAGGCCUUAAAAAGACCCCCACCCAAAAAAAAAAAAAGAAAAAGUUGAGUGAACACAUACAGAAUGAGAAACCCUAAAACAAGGUACUGAGUUAAUAGACAGGAUAGUCACUUCCUGAAUACAUAUAAAUGAACUCUUUGUAGAAUUAGCAGAGGGACUCUUAAUGGGCUUUUGUUUUAGAGGUGGUGGAUUGAUAUUCCAAGGCGAGGCCUGAAGAGAGACCUCAGGACAACGACCACUCUUCUAGACUACUACUAACAUAGUAGCCUUGCAAAUAAGGAUAAUCCCCUACAAAUCAAAGCGCUAGAGGAUGAGCUUCAUCAGGACAGAGAUUUUGUCUGUGUUGGGUCACUGCCAAGUCCAGGCAAGUGCCUGACAAAUAGCAGAUUCACAUGAACUAUUUCUUGAAUGAAAUGAAUGGAUGAGAAAUCUUGACCUUUCCUUUAAAUAGGAUUAACAUUAAAAGCAAACAAACAAAAUAGCAGACUUUCCCACUUCCGGGUGGAUUUCUGACCCUGAGAAUACUGGUAAGCAAGUAAGCAAGGCUGAGAAGCAACGUGUGGACAGAAGAGGCAAUAUGUACAUUUAGGAUGUGUUCCAGAAGCCAUGGAUGUGGUGAAGUCUUCACAGGAAUGUGUGAUGUGAAGUAGUGCCACCCUUAACUCAGAGUCAUGCACAUGUGACAUAUCUGAAUUAUAAAUAUUUUGCUCAGUGUCUGACUAACUUUAGUGUCCAUAUGUAUACUUUUUUCUCCUCAGGUUUUCAGAGUGACAAAGUGACACUUUUACUCUCUGCAAACAUUUAGCUUACCUUUAACAGUUUCAACUCAAGCUCUGACUGGCCAAAACAAUCCAUGUGACAGGAUCUAUUUCACAGGUGGGGUUUAUCAUAAAGCAUUACUUACGAUUUAGCUCACAGCUUCUGAAAGUAGAUUAAAAUCAUGUAACAUUCUCAGAGCUAUGCCUGACUAAUCAAAUCUAAAUAUAUAUUUAUUUUUACUACCAUAGAAAACAGUUUUAAAAAAACAGAAGUCUUUUUCAUAGAAUAGUAAGUUAAUAAUCUGAAUAGAAAUAUAUAAUCAUUUGUAUAUACUGUAAGUUUUCCUAAUUAUCUUUGUAAUGAAAACUGAGAAAGUAUGAGUCAUCCUUGGCUGAGCCUGCUCAAUUCUCCUUGUCUUUUCUAAAUAUAAUAAAAACAGCAAACAAUCUUAAAGUACAUUAUUAAUUGAUUAGACAUGAUUUUUUAAAAUGAUUUACAUCAUCUCAUUUAACUUUUGAGCUUCCAGACAUUAAUAAAGAAUCACCAAAAAGCUCUUAAUGAUUUAUAAUGCAUAUUACCCCACCGGGCUUGGCCCAAGAACUCAGUAUGGGCCCAGAAGAAAACAGAAAAAUAUUUACAGGUGAGCCAUGGCAGAAAUAGGCUUAAAACACAUAUCUGUAUUCUCAGAAAACAAUUAGGGCUGAUGCAAUUAGGAUGAGUAUUACAGUUCAUUUUAUUCCAUGGAACUAUUUCCACUCUUGAAGCUCCAUGUAGCAGAGACAGUAUGGUUAGAACACUAUUGAAGGUGAUAGAAUUUUGCUUUGCCCUUGUACAUGUAAGGUAAACACUUUACAUUAUUACACAGAAACAAAAAUUUACAGCCAAAGAUAACAGAGAAUCUGAUUAAAGGUAACACAUUUGGCAUUUAAGGCUAACCCACAUUGGAAAGCAAUCAUUUCCAGGAUGGAGUUGAAAUAUCUUAACACAGUGUUACCUGUCUGAGUUGCUAGAAAAGAUUUCUCAUCUAAAAAUUGAUUCACAGGAUGUGUUUUCAAAUUUGUCAGUUGUUUUUUUUUUUUCCUUGUGUGCUAGACGGAGGCACUUUAAGAGCUAUUAACUGUAGUUUCAGGAAUAUGUGACACUGAGUUUAAUCAUUCAUUGGUAAAUAUGGCAAGGAAUUAAAAUGACCUUGGGUUAAAAUUAAGUAAACUAAUCAUUAAAUCAGAACAUUUUGCCAAAUCUUGUAAAAAUUACUGGUCUCUGACAUGAAUGACUGGUCUCUUAAAAAAAAAAAA